UUCCAUGAUGAUAUCUCACUUUACUUUUUUUCUGGUACCUCUUAUGUCAGAAGCCGUGCCUCUUCCGGUCCGGCUUCAAUGAUCUUAAUGGACUUCUGAUU
rfam:Trichophyton rubrum CBS 118892 genomic scaffold supercont2.7, whole genome shotgun sequence.